AUUGAACGCUGGCGGCAUGCCUAACACAUGCAAGUCGAACGAGUGGCGGACGGGUGAGUAAUGUCUGGGAAACUGCCUGAUGGAGGGGGAUAACUACUGGAAACGGUAGCUAAUACCGCAUACCAUCGGAUGUGCCCAGAUGGGAUUAGCUAGUAGGUAAGGUAACGGCUUACCUAGGCGACGAUCCCUAGCUGGUCUGAGAGGAUGACCAGCCACACUGGAACUGAGACACGGUCCAGACUCCUACGGGAGGCAGCAGUGGGGAAUCUUGCGCAAUGGGCGCAAGCCUGAUGAAGCCAUGCCGCGUGAAUGAAGAAGGCCUUCGGGUUGUAAAGUACUUUCAGUGGGGAGGCGGUACCUGCAGAAGAAGCACCGGCUAACUCCGUGCCAGCAGCCGCGGUAAUAC
rnacentral:rRNA from 1 species